rfam:Aneurinibacillus migulanus strain DSM 2895 scaffold4, whole genome shotgun sequence.
ACUACUACAUCUAAAUGACCUCAUAUAAUAUCGGGGAUACGGCCUGAAAGUUUCUACCGAACCGCCGUAAAUGGUUCGACUAUGAGGACAGAUACCUAUGCC